GUUACAAAGGCCAAUUUUGUGGGAGGGCAAAACCCGAUGAUCAGAAUGGAGCGAGUUGUAGUGGUGUCAAUCCCCCCCCAGUUCCCGUGGACAAUGUACCUGCAGAUCCCAUCCAGUGAGUCUUUUUUUUAAUAUAUACACACACACUUAGUUUCUCAUGCCCUGUGGGCUGUGGUUCAGUGCGAUUGAUUUGUACAAAAAGUGUGUCCUAUAGAAUUUUGCAGCAAUUACCGUCUGUGUUUAAUUUGUUCAGAUGUACCCAUUGUGGCAUCGACAAAAAAGGAACACCGGCGAUGCGUCGUGGUCCGCAGGGUCCCAGAUCAUUGUGCAAUGCUUGUGGAUUGACGUGGGCAAACAGGGUGAGAUAUAUAAAUAUCAUGAACAUUAUUUUUGACCAAAGAACGAUUUUUCAUAUAUAUGUGCCGAUCCGGUCCGCUGAUCGGCUGUUUGAUGCAGGGAACACUGCGAGAUAUUUCAAAGUCUAACAAAUCAGGAAAUAUUACUCCUGUCUCUCGUCAGAAUGAAUAUAUUAAUUAACACUAUCGGAAAAGAUGAUGUUAAUUAACACUUUUCCUUUUGAAUACACUUCCUUAUCACAUCUGAUUUUUUUUUCCUUAUUUUUUAUAACAGUGACGGAUUAAAUGAAGGACCAGUGCCCAGUGGCUAGGGUGAUUUUUUUUUUUAGAAGACCUAGAUAUAAUUUUAGUAAAUUUGAGGGGUUUUUAAUUAUAUGGUAAUCUAAAUUUUUACUCAUUGAAGGUCCUUAAUUUGUAUUGCUGCUAGAUAUAAUUUUAGUAAAUUUGAGGUCUUUUUAAUAAAAUAUUCAAAAAAUAAAAUAAAAUGUAAAUUUAAAAACAUCAAAUCCCUAAAGUAAAAACUAACGAUUCAUAAAAGCUAUGACGAUCCCGGCGUCCCGCCACCGGCCACACAAAUCCUCUGGGUAUGAAUCGAUAUGUCUUCUUCCCCAAUCCCUAAUUUAUAUCCAGAUUUAUCAACUCUUAUGAUUUUAAUAAUAUGGAUCAUCAGAAGAUCAUCUCUUCCGAUCAUCUCACAAGUUGUUCCCCUAAUCCUCUGUUUUUGUUCUAUUUUACAAGCUAGAUAACUAACUCAUUUUAAUCUUAUAAAUCAUAUACAUAGAGAGAGCAUUAGCACAAUUAUGAAUUUAAUAUAAAUUAUUGAUUCUGGAUGAAUAUUGAACAGACCGCGUACCGGAUUUAUCGCCGUAUCAUAUCAUGUCAAAAAUUUAAAGAAAAUUGAAAAAAAUUCCUAGAUCCCUAGAUCGGCGUCCGCCAUUGGAUAUUAAAACAGUGUAAUAAAAAAUGCCUUCCGAGUUCUAAAUAAUUAAAUAGCACCUUCAAUUUAUG
rnacentral:lncRNA from 1 species